rnacentral:rRNA from 1 species
AAGCGGGAAGAGCUCAAAUUUUGAAAUCUGCGCCGCCUGCGACGUCGAAUGGUAGUUUCGAGAAGCACUUUCUCGGCGGGUCCGGGGCCGUCCAAGUUGCUUGGAACAGCACGUCAUAGAGGGUGAGAACCCCGUCUGUGGCGGAACCGGCCGCUCACGAUGUGCUUUCGACGAGUCGGGUUGUUUGGGAAUGCAGCCCAAAAUGGGUGGUAAACUCCAUCUAAAGCUAAAUACUGGCACGAGACCGAUAGCGAACAAGUACCGUGAGGGAAAGAUGAAAAGCACUUUGAAAAGAGAGUUAAACAGUACGUGAAACCGUUAAAAGGGAAACGGAUGGGGUCAGCAAUGCGCUCCGCGAGAUUCAGCCGGGCGGCGCGUCGGGCGGGCGGUUUGCGGAUCUGAAUGGACCGCGGCCGUUCGGUUCGGCGCUCCGAUCGUCGCACUUCUCGCGAGCGCGCGCCAGCGUCGGUUGGAACUGGGUCUCAAGGUCGUGGGCAAGGUAGGCCGGCUCCUCCGGGAGGCGGCUGUUAUAGGCCCGCGUCACAUGGCCCGGGGCCGACCGAGGCGUCGCGGCACGUGCCUCCCCCUCGCGGGGCUGGCUGGGGUUCCGUCUCGCCGGUCGGCGGUCGAAUGUGGUGGACUGCGUGCAGUGCGCCGCGACCGCCGCCGGUCGCCGAGGCGGUGACCUCGCACUACGUGCCAAGGACGCUGGCGGUCAAAUGGCCUCAUUCGACCCGUCUUGAAACACGGACCAAGGAGUCUAACAUGUGCGCGAGUCUUCGAGUGAAGGAAGCUCGCCGGCGCAAUGAAAGUGAAGGCGGCCCCGUGCCGCCGAGGCGAGAGCCCUGCCCCCGGGCGGGGCGCAUCGUCGACCGACCUAUUCCGCUCUCGGGAAGGUUUGAGUGGGAGCGCACCUGUUGGACCCGAAAAGA